UGUGAUGAAAUAGGUUGGACGAAGCAUGUGAUGACUUGACUGGAAAGUAGACAGAUCUGACAUGUAACUUAAGUAUGAGAAUAUCAGUUAUGCCGUCCUUAUGCGAAGUAUAUGAUAUCUCAGCAGUGGACCUAUUGAGAAUGAAUUUGGGUUUGAUUUGUUUUACUAUAUUGUACUGGCCAUUCACUUGAACAAAUUGGCAGAAACUUGGCACAGCUAGCAGAAGGCAGAAUUGUGUUUGGUUAUGGCGCAGAUAUAACCAAAUGGAAAAUUCGAUUUGAAACAUGAAUAGUAACACAGUAUGCAAGAAAGGAGUCAUCCCUGGACGUGAAUUGAUUGUUGAUUGUAAAUCCAAUAAAAUGUUUAUCCCAUGGCAGAAUGUCUGGUGUGACAAAACAGAUUGGUUCUGUAUGGUAUAUUGAUUGUAAUACAUGCAGGCCAACCGUGCGAGACGCGGUCUAGAAUUAUUAUGUUGGGUUCAAUGACAUGUGCAGGUUGGUUUGCAGAAGUACGAAAGAAUGCGCCGCAAGAUGCGAAUUGGACAUAAUGCACCAAUUUUAAUCUGUGUGCAUGAUUGCGAGAGGCUUUGCCGCAAAUGGAAAAAUUUAGAAAAGAGAAAAUGAAGUUUUGAUUUAAAAUGAUGUGAUGGACAAUGUGUAAGAAAGGGUAUAUCAAGGUAAAAUGAAAAUGAUGUUUGUUCGUGUUUUCAUUUUCAUUCUACGCCAUUUCGAGUUCGUCUUCCUCUGCAUGCAAAUCUGCUACUUAGUGAUAGAAUCGGUUUGUGCUAUGUCCUCAAGAAUCGUUUAACUUCUUCUGACGAGUUGAUGAUUGCUUACUGUGGAAAUUUUCAACCUGCGCGAUUUUCACCACGCUGUUAACAACUUUCCAUCAGAUGCCUUUCUGUUUGAUAUGGAUGCGCGCGCUCUCUCUCUUCAAGUUGUUAGAUGGUUGAUUUGCAGAUGUAACAAUUUCAGAUGUUUUGAGUGAACGAGUAUUGUAUUCUUGGCAAGGUUAAGAUAUUGAGAACGCGGAGGGAUCUACAAUCGCUUUGAUGGAAUUCCAUUACUGUGGGAUAAACAUCCUGUAACAUCAUCUACCGGUGGACUGGUAAUAUCUGUAUUACAAUUUACAUCCCAAAUACCAAUAUAUUUUCUUUCAUUCUAAUCUGCAUCCUGCGUUCCUCCCGUUGUUUAUUUCAGGGUAAACAAAACCCUGGGGCCAUAAACAGGGUAGGUAGUUUAUUCCUGACAGUAGGUCAAGUAGAACAACUUUGUCUGAAAUAGUGUUGCCGUUCAAUACUAUUCUGAAUCAUGACGCUGAUUAUGCUCCACCUAUUGCUUCUCAUGAUAUCAUUCGAAUUGAUGCGGAUAUGGAGAUACCUCUUUUGAGUCUUUCGUCAAAUGAGGAGAAUCUGGCUAAAGGGGCACAACAGUGGCAGAAUACUAUUACUGGUGUGGGUCAAAGGUUUAACAGUGUACAUGAGUUUUGAGAGACGUUGCGUAAAUAUGCUAUUGCUCAUCAAUUUGCAUUCAAAUAUAAAUAGAAUGAUAGUCAUCGUGUGACUGUUAAAUGCAAAGCAGAAGGUUGCCUUGGGAGAGUUCAUGCUUCGAGGCUGUCAAGUACUCAGUUGAUAUGUGUCGAUGACUAAUAAUUAUCUCGGCGUGGAAUAGCAAAACUAAGAAGACCAUGUCAGGCUGUGUUCCGUCACAGAUAGUUGGCUUGACCAGGACAACCAUGAUAGUGGGAUUGAAUUCAGAAUGACGUUGUUCUGAAGGCCGCUCCGGCUGCGUGAGCCGUAUAUUGCUUACAAUACUAUUCCUUAUACAUUGCUUGCUUGGACUGUGAUUGAGUGAUGAAUGUAUUGUCUUUGCCUCUGUUUUGUAUUUAUGGCUUUCAACGCAAAGCUGCACAUGGAGUUCAUUUUACAGGGAGAUGUUUGUAUGAAUUUGCGUACUGUUGUUUGCUAUCAUUGAGUUACAAUUGCUGAAUCAGAAAUAUACGGCUGCUGGAACAAGUCUACCGCGUGACAGUUUUGAACAAGAUGUCUUAAGUGUUAUUGUGCCUAUUUUCGUCGAAAGUGGAAUUAUACUUCUUUUCUCAUUAACUAAUUGCCUGUCAUUUUCUGUUAGAUUCGCCACGUAAAACUGUUUUGCAGAUGCUCUGUAGGAUCGCCGGCAGUUUGGUACACAUCCGCACUGUGCAUGAAAAGGAAGACGCGAAGCUGGGCUCAUCGAUCCAAGAACUAGAAGAGGCAAGGUUUGAGGUUCCCGACUUGCUCUGUCGAGCUCUACAAGAUCCAAAAUCUGGUUUUGGAUAUGGUAAAUAAAAAUCGAUAGAACUUGGCUCUGCUGUAGUCUAGCCAAUGCAUACUCCUGCUAUCGUAUGGCCACACGACAUAUAUCAAGAGGAACUUUUUAAUACAGUCAAGAAGCUGCUGAGGAUGUCAGCAACUUUCAACUAUAUGUGUUAUCUAUUUAAUGCUAAUUUACAGUUCUUUCUAAUGACCUGAUGAUUAUAUAGUGGUACUCAGUAGCAUUUUUGCAUUACUUUUGUACCUUUUUAUUUUUAUUAUAUUUUACGAUUUUCUAAUUCUAUCUGAGAACCAACUCUCUUCUUUCUUAGGGUCAUUGGUCUUUGGCCAAAAGCCUGCUUUUGUAGAUUUUGGCUUUACUCCUACUCAAACAAGUCCAUUUGGAAGUAACACCCAACAAUCUCAAUCAGCAUUUGGAAGCAGCAAAUUUCUCUUUCUCUUGGAUGCAGAUACUAGCAAGAAAUGCGAGAAAGGUGAGCGCUGAUCGGUUUGAAAGGCUUAAUAACGGUGACGAAAUGUUGGAGGCAAAAGAAGUAACACGAAUGUUCCCAAAAAUUGUAAAAAGUAAAUGGAACAGUGGUAAUGUAUUGUUUUCUGCAGUUGAAUGAGGUUUUGGUUCCUAAUCCAUUCAAUCUUGUGGCACACCAUUCACAUGACCAAUUUUAGAAGUCUAUUUGACAGAAAUCAUUCUGAGGAGCUGAAGAUUUGUCGUUAUGCUGUUAAACAAAGCUGCGGUCAUCUGACAACUACUUUGGAGGACUGGAGUAAAUUGUUUUGAAUUAUUAAAUAAAUUCAUUGUGGGGCUAAACUAAAAACAAGAUGUAUCAAAGGUUAGUAAUAUAAAUUCUAAGUAUCAAAAAUACACAUUGAGACUUGUCCUUAUUAGGGGGGUGAGGCUGGGUUUCAUUUUUCUCCAUUUCUCUUUUGGCUCUUGCUGAGGUGUUGUAGGUUUUUGAUGUAGUUCUUCUCUCUAUUGCCCUUAGUUGUAGCAGCACUUCUGCAUUGCUUAUGGUGUAUUCUACUUUUGCCCCUCCUUUGUGUGAAUUUCAGUAAACUUUUGUAAAUGUUAUAUAUAAUGGUGCUUUCUCAGUGUUGUACUCUUGAUUCUUUUGGUCAUGCUUAAUGUAAUUGGUAGGGAGCUGUACACAAGGAGCGUUCUGGAUUUGAGGGCCCAUGGACUUCAAAUCCUCUCAUUUUUUACAACUCAUACUUCACACUUAAUCGCUUGCUGCCGAUGAUGUUCAUGGCUCAUCAUGGAGUCCUUCUCACAUAGGCGAUGGUUCUGCAGCUUCUCCUAGACAACCCGAUGACACUACAUCGACUUCAGAGGGAACUGAUCAUGGUUGUCGGGAUCUCGCUCUAACUCCCAAAAACUUACGAUCUUACGCUCCAGCAACCGGCCACCGAUUUAAGUGGCACAAAGAUCUUAAAUUUGGCUGGAGCUUUGAACUCCUAGAGAAAGAUCUUUAAAUCGUGGGAUCUUGAGAACCCAACGAUCCAUUAUUUGUUUUUACCCGCUUUAGACCUGUUUCGACCAGAUCAUUAAACAACUGGAAUCGGCCCAUAAACUGACCCAUAAUUAACCCUGACUGUUGUGCACACAUAUUUUAAGGUUUUGAGACUUGCAAUGUUUUAAAUGACCUUCUAUUAUGUUAUUUUUGUAUAAAAUAUUUGCUAUUGAUGAUUAAAUUAAUGAGAAUUUUAUGUUAAAGUAAUUUUUCCUAGCUAUUUCUAUAAUUUUGUCUAUUUGUUGGGAUCUUACAAUCUGUGUUACGAUCCUACGAUUUACGCUUUUUCUAUACUCUAAGAAUCUUUAUCGAGAUCCCGAUUUUAACAACCAUGGAACUGAUUCUAAAACCAGGCUAGCUUCAAAUGAUUCCUUUGAUUUCUUUGAUUUCUAUGUUGUUUUAUAAUUCCUUCUCUUUGUUUUGGGGUUUCGUUGCUUCCGUUGGUUCUCGCAAUACGGUUGUGGUGUCUGCUCUAGAAACAUGGCGGUGUGUGCGUAGUGGCUGAUAUCAUCAAAUUUGGAGAGGUGAUAUGGCAGCAGAAAAAGCGACCAUCACUCAAACUCUAACAUCAGGGUGAUUUUAUAGCAGUCUUUCCCAAUUCUUGAUAAAAAACAAAAAGCAACUUUUCUGCAGUUGGCAUGUAUAUUAGAGUAGAUGAUAGAUAAUGUUCUCUCUCUCUCAACAUGUAUAUUAGACUUUUCUUUAUCAAUGCAUUUACAUUUGAAUGUUUUAAACAAUUAUACUGUUUUGCCUCCCAUUUUAAACAAGCUAUGUUGAAGUUCUCCCACCAAUGGAGAGACGGGGGUCUAUUGUGUGUACAACGGAAACCAGAAAAUAGACCUAACAUGUCAUCUGUGGUUUUUAUGUUAAAGGGUGAAAAGUUACUUCCGAAACCAAGUAAACCUGGGUUCCAUGCAGAAAGAGAUAAUGCAAACAGUGCAGAAUCUUCUUCAAAGGAGGGUUCAAUAAAUGAAGCUUCAAUCUCAAUGUUAGAGGCCAGAUAGAAUGCCACUGUGCUUGACACUGAUAUGGCUGAAUAAGACUGCUUCAAAACAACUUAUAGAACAUUUUUUUAUGGUUUUGCAGGUGCUGGCUUUAUAGGUGUUGGUUUUGCUGGUGCUAUUGGCGCUGCAGCUGGUGAUUGAGCUAAACUGGUACUAGAAAUGAGAGCAAGACAAUUUCCUUCAUUUUCUUUUCUUAAUGGUAAUUGAAGGCCUUAAAAUUUAGAUUGUUUUGUAGUUUAUGAAAAAUGUAAAGGAAUUGGUGCUUUUAUAGAUGUUAGGUAGUUAGAAAGGUUUAGUUAUGUAAAAUAAGGUAUAGUUGUAUUCUGUGAGGGGAUAUUUUAUCUUUAGGAAGGUUAUGUGUCAAAGUUGAUUGAAAUGUGGAUUUGGCUACUUAUGGAGUUUUGGUCCUGUUAGUGCAAAGCCGGAGUCAGUUUAUGAUGCAGCCGCGCGGUACAAGCUGCGAAGUUCUUGUUCUGUCUCGAAAGGUUGUGGUUUCUUUGCCAUCACAAUGCGGACGGUCUAAAUCUAUAUCAGCUGUUGGUAUUGUAGGUUGCAAUAUCUUAUAUAAUCCUGCAACUUCAUGCUUUGAGAGCUGUAGUAUUUUCUGUCAGUAUAAGGUGUAUCAGCUGUUGAUUUUUAGGAAUCAAUCAUUUUAGUUUCUGCAAUAUUUGUUUUAGGGCAGUACUGGUAGUGUGGAGUUGUUAAACCCUGUUUAUUGUAUUUUGUGGACUUGGUGUAAUAGGCAUUUUUUAUGCCUUUAUUGUUCUGGUAUAUAAUUAAUUUUGCCUUUUAAAAAAAAAAUACAGAAAAGGAAGAACCUCUCUAAUCAUUCAGGUAAGAUGGAUGUGAAAUCAAAUCAAUCACUGUUAAGAAAGUUGUAGCAGUGUUCAUAUGGUUAAACAAUUCCUCUAGACAGCUAGAUAUCAAAACUAAGUUGAAGUUCUUCUGAUUAUUUUCAAAUGGAAUUUGUACCUUUCAAAGUUACUUUGCCUAAAAUCAUGACAUUUUCUCAAUUCAAUUUAUUUUACAAAUAUGCUAGAUCCAACACCCCAAGAAUGUUGAUGAUUGAAUUAUCAUUCGAAAUAUAGGCUUAUUGAACCGAAGGCCUAAUAACAAAUGGAAAUUACUGAUUAAUUUUGAUGUAUGGAAUAUCUUCCAAACUUAUAACUUAAUGGUGCAUCUUUUUU